AUCCUUAGCUAUAUUCAUAGUCAAGUAUUUAGUCAUCAUAAAAAUCUCUUUCUCUCUCUCUCUGUGUGAGCAGGCCAGAGCAUGGUAACAUUAUCGUGCACCACUAGCAGUUGAAGCUGCCAGCAUGAUCUAAACUUCCUUCACUGUCAAGGAUAGAUCGGAUCAUGUGGCAGUUUCACCUGUUG
rnacentral:precursor_RNA from 1 species